AUUGAACGCUGGCGGCAGGCCUAACACAUGCAAGUCGAACGAGUGGCGGACGGGUGAGUAAUGUCUGGGAAACUGCCCGAUGGAGGGGGAUAACUACUGGAAACGGUAGCUAAUACCGCAUACCAUCGGAUGUGCCCAGAUGGGAUUAGGUAGUGGGUGGGGUAAUGGCUCACCUAGGCGACGAUCCCUAGCUGGUCUGAGAGGACGACCAGCAACACCGGAACUGAGACAGGGUCCAGACUACUACGGUAGGAACAAGUGGGGAUUAUUGCACAAUGGGCGCAAGCCUGAUGCAGCCAUGGCGGGUGUAUUAUGAAGGCCGUCGGGUUGUAAAGUACUUGCAGCGAGGAGGCGUUACUCGCAGAAGAAGCACCGGCUAACUCCGUGCCAGCAGCCGCGGUAAUUC
rnacentral:rRNA from 1 species